rnacentral:rRNA from 1 species
CCAUGCCGCGUGUGUGAAGAAGGCCUUCGGGUUGUAAAGCACUUUCACUUGGGAAGAAAAGUACACCGUUAAUAGCGGUGUGCCGUGACAUUACCUUGAGAAGAAGCACCGGCUAACUCCGUGCCAGCAGCCGCGGUAAUACGUAGGGUGCAAGCGUUAAUCGGAAUUACUGGGCGUAAAGGGUGCGCAGGCGGCCCCGCAUGUCAGGCGUGAAAUCCCCGGGCUCAACCUGGGAAUGGCGCUUGAAACUACGGGGCCGGAGUGUGGCAGAGGGAGGUGGAAUUCCACGUGUAGCGGUGAAAUGCGUAGAGAUGUGGAGGAACACCGAUGGCGAAGGCAGCCUCCUGGGCCAACACUGACGCUCAUGCACGAAAGCGUGGGGAGCAAACAGGAUUAGAUACCCUGGUAGUCCACGCCCUAAACGAUGACGACUAGUUGUUGGGGGAGUUAAAUCCCUUAGUAACGCAGCUAACGCGCGAAGUCGUCCGCCUGGGGAGUACGGUCGCAAGAUUA